CCUCCAAAAAUGCUGGGAUUACAGACAUGAGCCACCACGCCCGGCCUUUCUUCUAGUUUUGACGUCUCUGCUGUCUAGAAACGUUUUCAUGUCAAAAGUUCACAUCGUUCAUUCAUAUCAAAAGAACCCAAUGAGAUACAGACAGAAAAACUACAAUUUAUAUGGCAGAAGUGGGACAAAUCACUGAGAUCCCUUACAAAGUGAGUGGUGCAGGCCAGGGUGGUGCUUCUCGUAUGCUCUUCAUACAACAUGGUAUGGAUCGUUCUGGCUUAGAAACGUAAGCUCCUGUCCUCAAAGAGGCUGGUCAUGGAUGGUUCUGUAGGGCACGCGGCACAUUCUGAGUGCUCUGUGAAUGUUGAGGCUAUGAGGUAGUCUUCAGAGGAUGUCUCCUCCGAGGAAGGUGCUACACAAAUACUAGUAUUACUGUUCUUUUAGCACAAAUUUACAAUUGACUUUCUGUUAAACAUUGCGGCAAGUUAAAUCAAUUCAGUAUGAUUAUAGUCAUUAAACAAAUGCCUGGUAAUGACUGCCUUCUUAUUUUAGCAGUUUCUCAAACCACGGGGUAAUGCCCUAUCAGGCUUUUCUGCAUCGUCAGAUUAAUUGGGUUGUACAACCUGCGUUUCAAGAGAGAGCAUACACACUGCUGUACAGGAACCGGACCGUGGUUUAAGACCAGUGCCGAACUAACUUACCUUCGAGUUUUCCCUAUGGCUCUUGCCAUUCUGUUAGGUGCAAUUGACCAGUCCAUCACAGCCUACAAGUAGUUUAAGGCCAUUUCUACCUGUUAAAAAACAAGUGUGCUUUUCGAACCAAAAUGUGGGCAGGAAUUCUCCCAAAAUCAUUCUUGCAAAGCUGAAACCAGCCAAAGCGAGAUGGGCAGUGACGGCUUUCUUUCACCUGUGCUCGCAUGGGGACGGUCGCCCUAAGUACCUGCCAUCUUAGCAAGUGGGAAAGAAAUAGUUAAGUCCAGAAGGCUGUGAGUUAAAAACGCUGUCUGACAGAAAAGCACAUAAGAUGUCCCUGCCAGGUGGAGAUGGAGGAAGACCGCACCCCUGAAGCCACUCUUUGCAUUGAAGGUCAUCUGUCUGGUGCCACCCUAGAAACUGGUCCGCUUCUGCAGAGGACAUUGAAUGAUGACAUCCCGCAAGUCGGCUGACUGCUGUGUCAGAGCUGCUGCUGCUUUCUGCAUUAUCUCGACUGCCAGCUCCAGCUCCUGCAGCUUCCCAGUCGCAAUGCAGCAAAGCAGGGGCGUGCACGAAGCAACAGAGUUGCAAAGUUUUCUUCUCCUGCUACUACUUAGGGUACCUUAUGUGAGGAGUAUUUACCUUUGUUUAGCCAGGAGCAGAGAUGCAGCCUGAAUGUACGUGAUGGCUUCUAACUUGGCAGCGUGAAUUUUCAGCUGAGCAGGUACUGCUCCGAGCCCUGUAACCAAACUGCCUCUGAAGGAGCACAGCUGGUUUCUCACCACGUGUGUGAAUAGUUUGGGGGCUGCUUGUGCCACACUGCUCUACCUGCGGGAAUAAAGGCUAGGACAAAGGAGAGGAUGUGGUUUGUCUGGCUGGGGCCUGUGCGAACGACUCACCGCACUGAUGCUGUGUGACUCCCCAGCUUACAUUUAAGGCUGGUCGCCAGGCUGGCGCAGAUCCCCACUCCUCAGUUAGGGCACGGUUUAAAGGAGAAACCAGGCUCCCUGACCUAAAUCACUCCCAGUCCUCUCUGGAUGCGGGACAGCUGCCGACUAGCAGUGACACAGCCAGCCAUCAAGUGGAGAAUCCUUGCGACUGCAGUUUGUGUGCAGGUGGAGCCCGGGAGAAUGACGGUCUAAUUUCGGUCAUCCAAUGGCUUUUUCUUAUUUUCCUAAAUAAUCGUGCUCUCUAAGUAUACAGUUGUCUGGAUUAGCCUGGCUGCCAUGCAAUCUCAUCAACUCUGGCUGGAAAUCAGGGUGCCAGGCAAGCCGCCUUUAGCCCCAGCUCCUUUCUGCGUGAUGCUGUGCAGCUAGGAUGGGUCACGCUGACAGCAAAGGAGGCAGAAAGCACCGCUUUAUCUUCUCUUGUGAUAUUAGCAGAACAUAACUCUUCUUCACAGUGAUGACCUCCUGCAUGUGUGUGUGUGUGUGUGUGUGUGUGCGCGCGCAUGUGUGUGUAUUUUAAUUCAUCUAAUCGAAGAGCCUAACAUAUCAUCAUGGAUGUGGUUUUUAAUGAUUUGGAAAAAAAAAAAAAGCCUGUGGAGACAGCGAUUCGAAACAGUGGCACCUUUAGGUUAUUGCCAAUUUGAAAUACUUGGUUUGUGAAGCUAAGCCCUAAGGGACGAGCUCGGUAACUGAGGAAGAGAUCGUAGAUAAAGAAAUAAAAAUGACAAGCGUAAUGGAGGCUCUGCGAAGGGACUGUCAGAGCAUCAGUUCACGGAUGGCAAUUUCACCAGGCUGAGACUGAAUAAUUCAUAGAUUGAAAUUACCCUGCUUUCACCUUUCCAUUUAAACUGGCAUGAUCUGAAUCUCUAAUAAAUUUUCAAGAUAAAGUAAAAUGCCAAUUUGAAUCUGAAGAGCUUUUGAAACCAGAUGCUGCAUCCCUGAAUCUUUCGGUAUCUUUCACAAUUAUCCUAUGAGAACAGUACUUCAUCACGAAGCACCAUUACCAGGGAAAUUACUGUGAUUACAAUAGCAACAAUAGAACACCAUCAAAUGAUCUCUAAUUUACCUAAUUUGCUAAGACUGACUGUGUGGUUUUGAUAUCCAUUGUAUGUCACUAUGCCCGGCACCCGUGAAGCUAUCUCACGCUGGAACAAAAGUGGCAUCCUGUGUGUGUAUGUGUGUGUGUGUGUGUGCGUGUGUGUGUGCGCGCGCCCACCCUGCUACCUUAACUCUGAAAGCCUAGCAAAGAAUAUUCUCCUAGGUUACAGUAUUUCUUUCCUUUGGUUCGCAUUUUUUCCAAUGCCUGUACCCCAAAUGUGUUUGGGGAAAUGGAGAACCUGUCAUAGACUGGGGGACUGUUUUUUGAUACAGAAGAUCAUUGAUUUGUUAAUUUAUAUACCCUCUUUAUUUUAAUGUAUACGAGCAUGUGUUUACUAAAAGGGAGGACGGAUGCCGUUCUGGGAGAGUAGUUUUAAAAUGCAGCCGAGAUGCAGUGUAUGUGUUUGUUUCUUCUUUGAAACCCCUGUCUGUCUCUUUCAGGUUAGAAAUCCCUUCAGGGAACUGCAGACCUGGUGUGAUGUGUUAGAAACCUCUGAGACUGCAGAGAAGCUCAGGAGAUACAAUCAGUAAUAGCUCUGUGCAGCUUUUAUUAAAAGCAUGCAUGUUCAAUUCAGUGAUUAAAUGAAGCGUGGGUACCACAUUGGCUGUGUUUGUGUCUGCUCACUCUGGAGGAGAAGUCUGUACUAAAGAGAACUUUUUGGGACAGGCUGCAUGGUUCAUCUCAGGGUAAUUGUGCCAUCCUGAGAAGGUGGCAUGGAUCAUAAAUCCUCACUGGAGAACAGACUGGAAUCAUUUAUAGGCACAAUAGCUUCUGGAAUUUUACUUUCAAUAUAGUAUGAAGGUAGUAUGUGGGUUUCUGCUAGUCAAGUGAUUUAAGUAUGAUUAUCUAAGGCAAGGUUUUGGAGUCGUGACAACCAUUUGGGAGGAAGGUAGGUUUGAAACACACCUUUCUAAUGUUCUGGGGUUUUUACUGGAGAUCCUUAGCUCUGAUACGUUCCUUAAUCCAUGAUCACAGCUUGACCCCUCUCUGUAUCCUGUGACCCAACAUGUACCUUUGGCAGAGCAGGAAAUGUCUUGCACGAAGAAAACCUAAUCUUGGCUGAGCAGCUAGACUUUCUGGUAGAAGAAAGGAAAUCAAUCAUGUUUACCUUCCCCGGAUUAUUCCCUCAUGUUGACUGUUUCCUCCCUGUCUUCAGGUUCUCUUAUGAGACCACCAACAUUCUUCAAACAUUAGUGAAAUAAAACAGGAGGAGGCUUUGGAGCUCUGGAUCCUCAGCCUCGAAAUGUCACCGUUUAAUCCCAAAGGUUUGCUGUGAAGCUGUAAGCAUGACAAUGUGAAACUCCAGAUUAUCCCUGAAUUCUUUGUUUUCAUUGUGACCCGAUGCUCAUAAAAAUUAUUUUUUCUU